AUUGAACGCUGGCGGCAGGCCUAACACAUGCAAGUCGAGCGGAUGAAGAGAGCUUGCUCUCUGAUUUAGCGGCGGACGGGUGAGUAAUGCCUAGGAAUCUGCCUGGUAGUGGGGGAUAACGUUCCGAAAGGAACGCUAAUACCGCAUACGUCCUACGGGAGAAAGCAGGGGACCUUCGGGCCUUGCGCUAUCAGAUGAGCCUAGGUCGGAUUAGCUAGUUGGUGAGGUAAUGGCUCACCAAGGCGACGAUCCGUAACUGGCCUGAGAGGAUGAUCAGUCGCACUGGAACUGAGACACGGUCCAGACUCCUACGGGAGGCAGCAGUGGGGAAUAUUGGACAAUGGGCGAAAGCCUGAUCCAGCCAUGCCGCGUGUGUGAAGAAGGUCUUCGGAUUGUAAAGCACUUUAAGUUGGGAGGAAGGGCAGUAAGUUAAUACCUUGCUGUUUUGACGUUACCGACAGAAUAAGCACCGGCUAACUUCGUGCCAGCCGCCGCGGUAACAC
rnacentral:rRNA from 1 species